UUUUUUUUUUUUUUUUUUUUUUGUAACGAUAAAAAAUGCACUAUGGAGAAAGACUUUACAAAAGAAACUUGCAGGAACAUUUCAGUUAAUGAUAAGCAGAAGAAGGGGAAAAAAUAAGAGAGAAGUUGCAGACAGAGAUAUAAAAUUGAAGUAGUUACACCGUAUAACACCUUCUUGGUCAGUCAUUGACAAAUGUGCAUGCUUGAUUUUAAGCCCUAGUCUUGGGGACGAGGGGCCUGGACUACCGUCCCAGACAGUUCACGGCCUGGAUGAGGUCUCAAAAAUUUAUGCGGCUCAAAUCACGUUUUGUAACUCGAUUUUCACAUCGUGUGGGACCCACAAAAAUGUUGUUCUAUUUUACUCGUUGUUGUUCUAUUGUUACACCUUGUACAGAUGAUGUUACACCAUGUACAAAUGGUGUUACACCUUUCGGAGCGGUUGUUCUGACAACCGUCCCAGGCAGUUCACGACCGGGAUGAGGUCUCAAAAAUUUGUGCGGCUCAGAUCACGUUUUGUAAUAGAACUACUUCUGCCUUGUCAGUUCUACAGACAGGAGUCAGACUGACCGCGAAUAAAAGCUAUGGGUAAAGUGUAAAGAGUGAUGCUCUAUUCUGGCUUUCUCCAUCGUGGCAAGAUUUCACAUUCAAAUCUUCCCUGCCAAAGCAAAUUUUAGUACAUCCAACUGUUCAAAUGUUAUCCAUAGAUUAGAGGGAAUAGUUGCUGUAUUGGAUCUGUUUGAAUUAGCUGUUUUUGGAGUGUUUUUAAAAAUUUUUACUGUAGCAGAGUUUUUAUAAUAUAUUUUAGAAAAUAUUUUGGAAUAUUUAAGAGUAGAAGAGAUUUUAGAAUAUAUUUUGAGAUAUUUUUAAACAUUAAAAAAAUUUAGACUAUUUUUAGAGUACUUUUUAAAAUUUUAAUAGUAUUAGGCCUUGUUUGGACAGCAAUUUUCCAAACAAAAAUUAUUAUAUUUUCUGUGAUUUAUCUCACAUAUAUCAAAUCGUUACAGUAAUUUUUUUACAAAAGAUCUAAAAAAAAUACAAUCCAAACCGGGCUUAAUUUUUUAAAAAACUCUUGAAUCCAAACAGAGCCAUAAUGGCGGCCCAUCAGCUCAACAAGUCAACCCCGUUAAAUCAAUAUCUUCCUAAACUUGUUCUCUUUAUUGAAUUACAGCUUGACAAGUAUAUCCAUUUAUGGGCAGAGAACAGCGCCGUCACACAAUGAAAUGGAAUGGAAUACUGGAUGAAAAGAUGGUAAAAUGUGGCUCAGGAAACCGUGCAAGCAACGAUGAUGAAUGGAGAAAAUGGAGACGUAUGUCUGUUUGGAUUGCAAUUUUUGUAAUUUUUUUUUAAAAAUAUUAUAUUUUUUAUGAACAUAUUUUUUAAUUAUUUUUUUUACCUUACAUAUAUUAAAUUACUACAGUAAUUUUUCUAUAAAAAUUCUAAAAAAAUACAACCCAAACAACCAUAGGCUCAUCCUCUUAUGCUCAACCCUUGAGAGAAACAUGAGUAAAAAAUCAUCAAAUAGCCUUGGGAGCAUGCAUGUCCUGGCUCGAUCUCUGGAGAUAUCAUUAAUUCCUAUGGUUAGAAAAAUUUGUUACACAGAUUUCUGACUUUGGGGUUAAAAGGGUCGUCGGAUCAGAAGCCCGAGUUCUAACAAUUUCUUUCAGUUUCUACUGCAAAUUUUAAUAGUUUCAAAUGGAAAAUCUUUUUCAUGGAGUCUUCAUGAUAUGAUCUAAUUGUCGUUUUUUAUAAUUUAAUUAAUCAGGGCAUGUCUUUUUCCUUGUCUACAUGGAUUAGUAGGCAUAUCUUGGUGUUUCUUUCCCCUUUUUGACAUGGAUCAUUAUAUUUUAUCAAUAAAAAACAUUUUAUUUUAGCCAUCACCAUGUAAAACAAUACAUGCACCUAAAAUCCGUACACUAUAAAGCUAAUAUUAGUGAUUUUACUAUAUCUUUUUCUUUUUGAAGGAUUUUACCAGAUCUCGAUGCAACAAAAGUUCUGUCAAAUUUUUCAUUAGGAUAUAGUGUUGGUGGUGCUUAAAUCAGCGGCCAAGAGGAAAAAUAUGUGAGUGCUUACGUCAGAGGAACCAACCACCGAGUAACUAAAAAUUAUUAUUAUUGUAACAACGUGACAACUCGCUUCUCUUCGUCUGCGAUGGUGGGUGUGUCCAAAUUGGACUAGCUGAAGAGAGUUUUUUUUUUUUGUCAGCAACGAUACAUUUGUAUAAUCUACUCUAUCCUAAUUUAACCUAAUUUAGAGGGGAGGGAGAGCCUAAGGAGACUGUGGUAGGAACUAAUGGAUAUACAGUCUCAACUAGACCAAGAAAAUACUAUAACACAACUCUUAGAUUUUUUUUACUGCAGGUGAGAUUUGAACCUUCACCUACGGUCCACCCUGGUGGCCACUGAGCCAUUGGCCUGUAGUUACUAGCUGAAGAGAGUCAAGAAACCCUUUUAGGCAUCCCAAGGAAAAAGCGAAUAAAAAAGUGUAAUAGCGUAAUGAGUAUGGUAUAUUCCUCCCAGUGGUUCAUAGCAUGGAUAUUCCUCCUACAGUUGGGGAACAACUGGACAAGAAACCCAAGACCAUCCAUGAGCCUAAAGGAAAACAUCAUGACAACACAACAGUUGGUCUUAGCUUAUUUUUAUUUCUACUCUAAUCUAGAUUACUCCAACUUAAAUUAAGGGGAGGGUGACAACAGUUAAUCUAACUUACUUCUACUCUUAUUCUAAUCUAGCCCUGUUUGGUACUUGAGUUUUUUACCAAGUUUAUCUGUUACAAGUUUUUAAAAAACUUUAAUUACAGUAAUCUCAAAAAACUUUUCAAAGUUUUUAAACUAUACACUUCAAAAUACUCAAAAAUUUACACACAUCAAAAAUUUUUAAAAAAAAAUUUCUACAGUAAACUACAGUAAAAUUUUAGACAAACACUCAAAAAACUCACUUGCCAAACGGGACCCUAGAUUAGAAAAGAUCUAACCGAACCUAAAAAAUCGACAGAAACUGAACCACCAUCGAAUCAAACAGAUGCACUCGUAUGAAUUUAGAAAAAAUCACACUUAUAGUAACAUAUUAAUGGAAGACAAGAUCCCACCCCACUAGGAUUUAAAGUCUUUAAAGUCUUUAAUGGUGAUCAAUAGCCUAAAGUGCUGUUGGUUAGGAGAACAUCAAUAAUUGCCUUGUACAUUUUGAAUUGAUUUUGUUCGCGACCAGGAAACAUGAGAAUGAUUCACUUCUUUGGGUCCACAUUAAUGACAAAUGGAAUCGGUUCGGAGACCAGAAAUACAGUUUCAUUGACAUGAUCCAAAGCAUAUUACUUGUCCUAGGCAAAGAAAGACAUCCACCAAUUCCUUGGAAACAUGAGGUAAUUAGCGGAGAUAACUGAAAUCUCAUCUUAGAUAAAAGUUAGCUGAUUUCCGUCAUAUUAAACGGGAAUCUCAAAGUGCAAAGAGACUGCAGUAUACGGUCCGCGGGCGAAGCAAGAUAUGAAGGUGAGAAAGAACAUGACCAGAUUGAAGAAAGGUUCAAUGAUACGCCGUCAGAUCAAGGGCUUCCCUGACAGCACAGCACUAAGUGAAGUAGGUGUUCAGCAUUAGGUGCAGUUCAAGGUAAAAAGUGAACUGCCAUGCGGCUGUACAACCAUAGAUAUUGAGCUUGUUACAACUCCAAAAUUUCUCCCUGUCCACAGCUCCGUGCAAGUGCAUGAAGUAUGAAUAAGAUUUCCACCAGGAAGUGCCUUGGCUAUGUCAGAUAUCGUUGUCGAGAUUACUGUCUCAUCUGAAUUUAAAUUAAAAAACGCAAGAUAUAUUUCUCCUGCAUGACAAGAGAGACAGAUAAUUAGUUCGGAAAUCAAAUACUCAGAGUAACUCGCUUGAGUGACUGUUGCAAGGGCGAUUGACACAAAUGCCAAUCAUGUGGAUGAAAGUUGCAGAGCAGCUGAGCCUAGUUUUUUAUACUGCCGAUACCUAACAGUGCAUCAGUAAUCUGACUUCAUGGCAUUAGGCUUUACAGAUUAAGAUGGUAUUUUCCUGAACCCCCUUCUGUUUUUGGGCCAACCCCUUGUCCAACAACCCCCCACCCCCCACAAAGGGCCAAAAAAAACCAAAAACCCCAAAAUAAAAAGAAAAGUUAAGACAUAGUCAGCAAGAAUGCAUAAGAGAACAGUUAAGACGAUCAUAAAGAAGUGGCCAUUUAGAUUACUUUUAGAAUUUUUGAGAAAUUUAAGCUCAUCCGUGGUCAAAUUGGUUUCUAGUUUGGGAUAUCAAACCUCUCCUUCCAGUUGCAAGCCAAGAACGAGUCCCCCCUGUUCCUGCAUCAGCUGCAUGACAAAUCAAUUAGUUAGUUAUGACCACCAAUACUAUCUCAACAGAGAGAAAAAUAUUCAGAUAUUUUCUAUCACCUUGGUUUCUUUUCAUUGACGCACAGAGACCCGAGUAACCAUUUGCCAGGGUUCCGUUGUGCUUCAAGUCCCACAUCUAGUAAGAACAACGGCAUUGAAUAUCAUUUUGAACCCCAAAAACAGAAAAGUUCAAAAGGAAAAGACAAAAUUAAGUUUAAUUUUGAUCCCCAAAUUAACUAUGUUUUCAAUAGACCAUAAAUUCAUAACAUAUUAUGUUUAUGAUGAUUUCAUAAUCCCUGGACUUCAAGUUUUGAAACUAAACACACCUGAUUGGCAUCCAACCGGCAAGGCGAAAAUGAGCCUCUGCUGAACUCCUUUGAGCUAAGUUUUCGACUUGCAGAUGCACCAAGGCAGAAAUCUGUUCCUUCUAUUGCUAAUAAACGGAAUUUACCAUGACUUCUUUUGUCUUCUGUUUCUUCAUCUCUGCAUUACCAUCUUUGUAGAGUCAAACAUCAUUAUGUCAACAACGAUACUGAGUAAAAGUUUGUCAGUCACAACCAAGAGAAUAAGAUAAGGGAGAACAUCAUUACACUUCCAAAAGCAAUUUUUCCUUGUAUAGGCAGAAAGAUGCCUGAUGUUCGCUUUUUGAGUUCUCUUUCCAGCAAACUUUCUCAAGAUCAUCACCAUUUGCUUUAACUGACCAACCUUUAGCAUGCUUGUCCUUGCAGCUACUUAGGCCCAUAAAGAGGUCCUCUGAGGCAUGCCUAACUCCAUAAUUUUCUGGCCGGCUGGUGAGAUUAUAUCGUCCUAAUUUAAAGUAUUUUGCACCUGUUAUAUGUGGAAACUGCACUCAAAACAUUAGUAUACUACCCAGUACUUCUACCUACGAUUCCCUUAAAAAGAUGGCUUUAUAAACUUGCCUCCAUAUUAUUUGAGCUAAAAGAGUUAAUCUCCAUUAAAGUAGGGUUUGUGAUGAGGCUGAAUGUGGUUUCAUCUAGAUUUCUCAUGUCUCCUCCAAACAUGAGAGGAGAUUUCGCCAUGGACCAUAGUGUCAUCUGCCAGAAUAAAGCAAUGAUGAUAAAGUUCCCACUGAAGCUUUAGUAUUAUAUACACUUCAACUUCUUCAGGAGCAGACAUACCUGAGUUCUUUGCUCAUCAAGAUUUAGAUUGCAUUUCCUGUGUGGACCAUCAUUUGCACCUAUUAAGAAGGGCAUACGAAAUUACUGUGAAUUUCUUUCUUUCUAGAUCCUUUACACAAGUAAUUGAACAAUUUCCAUAAUAUUUAGUCCUGAAAAAGAAAUUAUAUGACAUCAGCAUUUUCUGUAUCAAAACAUGAGAUGCAUGACCAAUGCAACAUCCUUGGCUUGAAAGCCUUGCAAAAAUUAUUAGGUGACUCCUCUAUCACCAAGAAGCUAAACAUGGAUCUUGAAGCUUGCACAACAUAAUUGGCCAAUGUGAUGGAUUCAGGAGAUCAUCCAGUGCAAUGAUUCGUUUCAUGGUUCUGUUACAGCAAGACUAGAUUAUUCUAAUUCAUCUCACUACUAUGGUCAUGGGGGAAGAGAUGGCACUAUUAGAAUGUAUAGUCAAGUGAACUAAAUGACUGUGGUGAUAAGUUUCUAGACAGCCUGUCUGCUAUCCAUGAGCUUGGCAAAAUUGUCUUAAAUUCAAUCAUAGUGACAGGACAAGCAUAUAUUUAAAAUAAAAUUGCAUCUUUAUAACAGCAAGAGUUCUUUCAAUCAGUCCUCAGAAAAUUUCUUAGAUGCUUUACCUGCAACAGUUAGCCAACCCAAAGGUAGCAUAUCCAAAUCCGGCCAUGACUUUCCCUUCAGACCAUUGGCUCCUAUCAUAUUAGCAGCUGCAAAAUCCCUGUUACAAACACAAGGAAAGAGCAAACAUGUACAAGCCAGAUUAGAGAAAGAAGCAGCAAAUGGAGAAUAGCAAACAUGUACAAGCCAGAUUAGAGAAAGAAGCAGCAAAUGGAGAAUUUAACUCAAUAAUUUGAAACGUUACAGAUGUUAAAAAAGAAAUGACCAUGACAACAAAAAGUAAAUAUUCUACCGUGAAACAUCAAAAUGGGAUGCAACAUCUCCCCAUGUAUCCCAGUCAUCCCCAGUUAUCCUAUACAUGUUGACUAGGCUGCUGACAUCCCUUGCCAUGCUUGGUGUUACACUAGUUCCGGGAGAUAACGAAUAUAGGAUGGGGCGAUUAAUUUCACUCAAAACCUGCACGCAUCGACUCAUUUUUGUAAGGACUUUACAAGGAAUGCUUUCAAUUGCAUGUGAUUAUCAGUAGAAGUUAAAUACUGUAUUCAGGGGAAAGGUGAUAUAACACCAAGCUCAAGCAUGAGAGAGGAGGAGGAGGAGAAAGAAUAAUGCAGCAUUUUGUACCUUUGAAACAAAACUUAUCUCAUCGAUGCUUAAAUCAUUACCAAACACACAAUCAUGUUUCACUGCAAGUAAAGAGAAGAAAAUCACAUUUAGUAACAGCAAAUAUUAUAUGGAAUUUUUAAUAAAAAUCUGUGAGACUUCCGCAAUUCCUUCCUAAAUGUAACAAGAGUUGUGGAUUUUUCUAUACAGACUUCAAGUUUUUGCUUUCAACAACUCAAAAUUAAUCAAAAAACCUCAUCAUACAUAAAAACCUCAAAAGUUAGUCAGCUUACUAUCUUCAAAAUGUCAAGAUCUUAUGAAGCAUUUACUAGAAAAAGCUCAGAAGUUAAAAUAAAUUCUUUUUUGCUAUUCUAAAGACGUCAGUGUUGAUAUUCAUCAAAACUUUGUGCUAGAGAAAGUGAUGCUAUUAGCCUUGACAUAUUCAGAUUACCAAAAUCAACACCCCAUGCUGCAUACUGAUGGUACAGUGACCUGAGAAAUGCUCUUCCAGCUCCCAACUUUGUAUCUACGCUCAUGAAACCAUUGCGCAUCCAUUGACAACUCAACGCUUUAAUGCCUAUAUCUUUUGCAUACCACUUUCGGCCUGACUCUUCGUAAGCCUUGCCCUAAAAUACAGGAUAAGGAGAAUAUAAUCAGUUGUCUGCAAACUAAUCUUGGCAUUUAUAUUCCCCCCACAUUAAAGGAAAGUAUUUUAUUACGAGUUUUAUAAAUGCAGCACAUUCCAAAUGUAGUAGCAUAAAAAAAGGAUAACCUUAUGGCUAAAGAGUAAGGACUAAGGAGGCUACCGUAUUAAUAUCCAAAAUAGGGGUGUUGGCGUUGAAUGCCUGUGUACUUAUGCCUCUCAUGACAUGGAUCCCGAACUUCAAUCCCAGGUCAUGAACUCUGUUGGCUAUCUGUGUGAACCCUUUCCCUUCUUUGGAGGAAGGCCAUCUUUCUGGGUCAGGAAUCAUCCUUCCCCACUCAUCAAUUACAUCAAAUCCAAGAGAAUCAACAGAAGCACCUUUCACUUUCCUUCUAUACCAAAGAUAAUCCACCACAACAUACUGCAAAGAGAAACAAAAUCCAAAAGAUGAGAUUAGCUCAUCACAGAAAGAGAAACCGAUUAGCUCCGAUAUCUUCAAGCAAUUCAUCAUAUACUACGUAAAAUUGUCAGUAAAAUAUGUUCUUGGGACCUCAUAUCCAUGAGAAUGCAAUCGCUGAGCAACAAGUUCCGCAUUUUGGAGAAAUUCUUCCUCGGAGAUGGUCCAACAAAAGGAGUCAUAGGAAUUCCAGCCUCUCGGGGGGCAGCCAGCUCGCACUUCCGAUUCACUCAGAGAUGGUCUCUUUGACAUUCCCCUGACCAUGAUCAUUAAUAGUAUGAGCUAGUAACCACUGUUUACAAAGAACCAAAGUCACAUAUACGAAUGAGCAUCGAGCAUGUGUUGGUCAUCAUCGUUCUAGAACGACCUAUUGAUCACAUAUAUGCGGCUACUGUAGAGGAAAAUCAACCAGUUACUAAGAGUAUCUGAAUUCUUGAGUAUCCGUGAGUUGUUUCGCUUAGUUAUGCAUAAAUACAUCCAGUCUCUGACAAAAGUCAUUAGUUUAGCUCAAAACCACGCACCGCACCCUAAGUCCUAACCCCUACGCACAAGACAAGUUAACAUGAAUGACACCAUACAAGUAGGAGAAUUGUGGAGUUUAGUGUCAGUAUUUCAAUGCAAGAAUUCACCACAGAAGAAGGAACAGAAAAAGGCCGGCCUUGGGGCAUUUAAUUGCUUGAAGAAAAUUUUCUACUCCCACGAGAUGAGAUUAGACGAGCUGCAACUGAUUUGAAGGAGGAUCAGAAGUACCUUUGAAGGGAAUCACAGAAGGCGAAAAACACAACAAUCAGAGCUAAAAUCUGCAUCUUGACUCCUCUGGUGCUAGGUGAAUUUCAAAAGAUGACGCUGAAGAAAGAGAGAAUGGUGAAUAAAUGUGAAUUCAGUCUUCUUAUCUUAUCUAUAUAUGCGUGUAAAGAUGAAUGGAGCUUGAUAGGAUGCAAAGCUUUUACUGUUAGUAAAACUCGCAGUCAGAUAACAAGUUAGUUCCACCAACUCUGCUUCAGUAGUGAUGGAUUAUGAUGAAUCAAUCAUCAUGCUGAUACAUGACACGGAUUAACGGCUUAAUGACACGUAAUUUAUAGCUGGAUAGUGACAAGUGUGCGCCACAGGGUCUUGAAAUUGAGAGAUGUCCCGUGAAUCACUGUCGUCCAUUUAGGCUUUGGUCUCGGAAUUUAUAGCUAGCGAGUCACCAGCUGUUCGGGAGCGUACAAGCAUUGUUGUUGUAUUGUACUCCGAUACCUAGUAAAACAUUUUUUUAGUUUCAAGCUAUACUAUACUACUACUAUUAAGGAUGUUUGGUUUCAAGCUAUACUACUACUAUUAAGGAUAAUAAUCCUCAGCCAUGCAUUAUUGGUUUUGAUAGAACUAGAAGCCUUCUUAUGUUUAAUGUUUAAUCUUCAGCCUUGUAAUAUAUAAUCUCAAUGACACAACUCUCUUAUCUUUCUCAAAGACGGAUUCUUUGGCUGUCGUUUAGUACACACAGAGGAUACAAGUCUAGAAAUUACAUAAACAUAUGCUGAUUUCCAUCCGCUGGGUCAAAGGAGGGAGGAGAGGAAUCGCAUAUUGACAGCGUUAAAGGGGAUAGCUUUUUGCCUGGAGGAAUCAUCAUGUGAUUUAUCGUAAUUAACUCCAUCUACCAUUCCCCUCGCCACGGAUUUUUUUUUUUCUUUCUUUUUUUUAAACAAAAAAAAAAAAAAAAAAAAAAAAACACAGAGGGCAUAGUUUUGGUGUUCCAGUUCCACUUGUCUCGUUAAUAAGCAGUAGUUAGAACAUCUCUUUAGAAUGAAAACCAAUAGUUAUAUCAGCAAUGAACAUUGGUCAGCUUGUGAGGAAAGGAAAAAUAACGACAGAGAAUAAUGACACUGGACCCGUCGAGUUGCUUACAAAUUCAGGCGUCUGGUGGGGUUUUUGCUUAUGGAAAUAUCGAAUGUAGGAACUUACCCGCGUCGGACUUUGCAUAAGUUUCUUGUUGUCCAUAUACAUAUAAUACAGGUAAAAGACGCAAGGAAAUGAAUGGCAACAGAGACAAUGGUGCAGUCUUCCUUAUGAAGGAAGAUUACUUCAUAAGGAAAUCUGGACCAAUUUAACCACAAAUCAAUCGCGUGCAGUGGACUUGAGCAAAACUACAAAAGCUACAAAAGUUUGCAUGGUGGAGUUUUGACCCGACUGGCAACCAGCAGAAGCCACUUAAAAACACCACGUGUUAAAUAGAAAUAGAGCAGAUUAUUAUCACUGUCGGGUAAAAAAAAAAAAAGAAUAGAAAUAGAGCAGGUGCUUUCGAGUUAUUGAAUGCCAAGUAUACCUUUUCUUUUCUUUUUUUGAAAUAUGAGAUUUCAUGUACCAGAAUAAAAAAAAAACUAAUAUACAUCACAUCGUUGCUCAAUUCAAUGAAGAGGUCCAAUAUUAAGAUGCAAAACUGUUGUAUUCUCUUCAAGGAAGAGCACCAGGCCAUGCAAAUAGUUGCGAGGCUGCUCCAUGCCAGCCACUUGCAAGCCUGCACUUCACAAACUUUCCAUCUCCAUCUCCAAGCAGACCUCAGAAUCCCCAAGAUUGUUUCCACCAUGCAAGUUCAGAUUCUCCAGGUCUCUUGAGUGCAGAACAGCUUGGACAACUUUCCAAAGUUCAGAUUCUCCAGGUCUCUUGAGUGCAGAACAGCUUGGACAACUUUCCAAGGGCAUGACUGCAACUUUACCAAAGAGACUCUUCCAAUGAAAUUCCUAGUGUUUACCUUCACUAUACAAGUUAUCACAAUCAGGCUUUACACAUACAAGGUGUUAGAGGGUUCUCCCAGAUGUCAUAAUUAGGAAAGGUUUCUUCAGGUAAUCCUGUUCGAGUCUGAUGGGUAACCACCACGUCUUCCACAAAGGUCGCCCAGCCCAUGUAUGGGUCGCCUAAUGAUUUGGACAUCAGUCCCUUGUCUGGUUUAAUGGAUUUCAGACGGUGACCCAUGUAACGACGAUAUCCAAUUAUCAAUUUAGCAAAGUUUCCUCCAUGGGUCAUGACAAACACAUCAGACUUCAAGCAGACCAAGAAAUCAAGGGCGGCCAGACUAGUGACAUGCUUCCUGAAGCCAUCCAACUCCGCUUUGGUUGCCAAUUCCUCCUUUGCUACCUGUUAUACAUCCUUUAACAAUUACUAUAUCAACUAUAAGAAAACAAAAAUGACAAGUGAACUAGGAUACGUAGGUGAGCAAACAUAAUUCACAACCCCACAAAGAACACUGCUCGUCUUGUGCCAAUCGAAAGUAAUAGAAAAACCACGCUCAAGACUUCAGAUGACAGCAAAGCCCAUAAAAUUAGUUAAGCCCCAGUCAAUUAACAUCCCAUAUUUCUAUUUACACUUUCUUUCAACUCUCUUAUCUUCUAUAAACAUAAUACAACGGAAAUAGCUACUAAGUAGUUCACACUAAAAGCCCUUCCAAAAGGUUGACCUUCAUAUAGAUAUUUGAAUAUAGGAUCUUAAAUUACUAGAAGGUUCCCUUCUGGCUACUCAGAUUAAAUUAUCUUCCUGCCCAUAAUUACCAAAAUCAUGAAACACCAUGCAUCAAAAGACUAAUUCAACAACGAUCACCUGAAAGGGUUCUCAAGGACAAUAUAUCACCGAGUACCGAAAAAGUUGAUUUUGGUCAUUAGACCAAAACAAGUGUCAAAAUCUAUUACUACGAGUGUUAAACCUAUUAGCACCAAACACAACUCAAAGCAUACGAAUUUUUUGUUGUAUGCAGAAGAACAAUCAUACUGAAUUCAUGUAUUCAGCAUACACACACGAGGUUAAAUGAUUUCCUUCUUUUUUUUUUUUGAUCGAAAGGUUAAAAUGUAUCUUGUUUCAUCAUUCAUUUGUGGAUAGAAUGCUUAGGUUAGAGACAUGACACGAAAAGAACAACAACAAAAACAACGUUCCUAGGAACAAUAAGUGAAUCAAAACUGAGCAAGUGGCCUUACGAGAUUUGGGAACAUAUUCCUAAGGGGAGCCAUGCGGUUUUGUCCACCAUAAACCUGUCCUGAAGCAACAUAUAUCUGGGUUUCUUUCGGAUAACCCAUUGCUCGAAGCAUGACUGCCACUUCACCAGGCUCAAGGGGGCACCGACCUUCCUUCCGCUUCUGAAGAGCUAGAGCCCAUAGAUGAGAGCCGUCCUGCCAGAAAACAAACAGAUUAUCAAAUUUAUGUUGUUAAAUUUUUUCUCUUUGUUGUAUGGCAAUUAUGAUGAACUGAACCUUAAAACGUCGAGGCCAUUCUUUCAGUCUGUACAAAGCCAUGAGAGCUUUCUCUGCCCUUGUUCCCACAAAAUCACAGAAUGAAAGGCCUACCAUCCCUUUCUCAAACCUCAGAUGAAGAGCCCUGUUUGGGAAAAAAAAAAAAUUCAAGCCUCACAAUGGAAAGGAAAAAAGAGGAGAUAAAACUACAUUGUCCAAAUUAUGUACAUGAAAGGAUUUGAACUGGCGGUGCGAUUUUUCAUCCUUGAUACAAGUUGAUCAGCCAUUUGCUCAAUCUCAGGCAGAAAUUUGAGCGCAUGAUAAUUUACCCUGCACCUUAGUCUGUUUAUUUCUGGGGGAACAUUAUCAUAUCUGAAUGGAAAACUAAAUAGUUAGUAUUUAUGAUAUAUUUAAACCUGCCAAUUAGUCAAACCGAUUAAAGAAAUACCAAUAAUUGACAUUCAUUCCUCACCCAAGUCGAUCAACGAAAGGCUUUAAGGACAUUAUCUUCUUCUCCUUAAUCCGGGGUAGAACAUUGUCAAUAUAGAAUUGCGCUGGAGCAUACUUGGGGAUGUUCUUCACUGUCCGUCUAUCAAUUAUAGUACAUGAGCAGAAACAAAUAAACCAUGUAGGACACAUCAAUCCAAUUAAAAUUUCCAACAUAGACCAAAUUAAGCAGGUAUUUUAAAAUUUUAAGAUGGCUAUAAGUAGGAGAGACCUUCCCAUGUCUGAGUUCUGACCCAAAAAAGUUUGCACAAUCUUAUGAACACUGGGGAAAAGGAGUACAUUUAAUUUUUAGUGACUAAUGACAGUUUCACCAAAUUGGUUAAAAAUUAGCAUGUCUAUAUGUUGAAAAGAAGGUCAUGAUGAGUUGCUAAAACCUUUAACCAGAGAUUCACAAGUCAAAACUGUGGUUUGUAAUAAGAGUACUAAAAAAGAGAAAACAUAGAAUAGUAGACCUUAUGCUGGUGAACAGCUCUGAUUUGUCAGUAAACCAUCCAGGAAUGUCACGAACAAUUCGUACGUCAUCCCUUAAGUAGUCAAUAAAAUGGUCGACAUCAAAUAUGUCUUCAAAUUUUCUGCAGAGGAUAAAUGACUGAAUAAGUACCUAGAGGUUUUCAGUACUUUUAAUAGCAAUGAUCAAGCUCAACCGACAUUAAGAAAUAAAUUAGCUAUUGCAGUGAGAAGGUACUAGAGACAGAGAGAGAGAUCUGCCAACUGAUACAAAGACGACAAGGAUGUGUUGUAUAAAAAAGCAUGUACUUUCGAGUUGCAUGCGUGCAUAUCAAUGAAACAAACAAAACCCUUGCACAUAUCAGAUGGUGUAUACUCCAUGUAAUUCAGAGUUCAAGUUUUUAGCACAAAAUUAGGUCUAAAAUUUGCAGAACCAACAACAGUUAAAAUAUUUAACAAUGAAGCAUGCUUUACUGGGUAACUGAAAUAAGCUCAGGUCCCGGUCAAGGUGGUGAAGCAGAGAACUUGAAUGUUAACGAUAACAGCAAAAUAGGUGAUACAGAAGAUGUGGAAGAGUGCAUGUCAACAUUCCCUUGGCUGAAUAGCAGCCUCAUUUUCUGUAACAUACAGUACACAGUGUAUAGCAUUUUCAUGAAAGCUUCACUCACGUCUGGUCCUUCCAUAUCUGAUCUUGUUUCAACACUGGCAAAAUAAGAGUGGCGUUCAUUAUCUUCGCAACAGCCACAGCAUUGCAAAUCUGACCCCAAAAACAAAAAAGUAAGAAUGAGUUUAUGUAUUGAGUGAAUGCCUGAGCAGUGGCACUUAUAGAUAGGAGCCUAUAAACAAUGUGUAUCCUUUGGGGGGGAACCUGGAAAAUAGCAGCUUCAAAGAAGGUUCAAUACUUUGAAUGGAACUUCACCGACAAAAAGAGGAUGAAAAGCAAGGGGAGAAAUUGAGAAGUGUAAGUUAGGAAACAGGUAAUGGAUCAGACACGCAAAUGCUAACAAUUGCCCUGCCACACGGUCAAGUAGAACUGGAAAGAAGUUUAUGAAAACGCUUGGAUAAAAUGUGCAUGACUGGAUACAAGAAAGAUGAAAUCAGACACAUCGUUGCAUUGGUGUUUUUUUAUAUGUCAGGACUUAGGAUUAUAUUAGGACUCGUUCAACAGGCCCUCGUAUAUUAUAUUAUCAUUAGUUAUCUCCUCAGCGGGAAUAUCUAACAAAGAGCAAAGUAUAGGUAGUCAGAUACAAUGAAGAAAACUUUGCCAUCAAGUUAAAAAUGCAAGAAGAUAAGACUAUAAAAUUAGUGAACACAAAUCCUUCUUCUCAUUCAUGGCCGAGUUAUUGCAGAUUUAAAAAAAAAAUUAAAAUAGGAAGAAUUGAAAAAAAAAAAAAAAGAAGCAAGCAAGAGAUUACAGAAUUUCAGAGAAAAGAAGUGAUGACAUUGUCUUUUCUUUCGAAAUUUCUCCCCAAAAACUUCACUAUACAAGUUAAUAGUUUCAUUUCUUCAUAUGCAGACUACAUGAAGCAAACACUUUCCUGUUUCCAAUUAUUCGAUAGUUGAUGGAACCAUGCACUAUGAAGAGAAGGCCAAAGGCCCAAAGCACAUGGAAAUUAGUAGGAAAUAGAAGCCAAGUUGCAGAAAUCAAAAUUUUUGGCUCUAUCUAUCAAAAAUAAUACCAUACAAGUUUAUGGAACAACUUCAUCGGUAAAUGAAAAUUUGCCCAUUCCAGAAAAAUUUUUAAAGUAAAAAAAAGGAAUUUUACACUUCUGUUUCAUGUAUAAUGCUGGUCCUAACCAUAUGGAAAAGUCAUUGUACCAAUCGUCUUAACUAAUUUAAACACAACAUUAUUACAUCAUUAGUCUUGUUACCAACUUCAGUCUAGUAUAAAAUCAUUUCUUAUUAGUUGAUAGGCAACAAAUAUUUGGGCAUACCAGAGUUCAGAUAACAAUUAACAGCAAAUGUCAAGUAUAGAAUUUAGCCUUUUGACAAUAUACAUUCCAAUAUCUUUUGUAUGACACUUACUGCAUAUUAUCAUUAUUGGUGUUCACCACCACGUAGUUUACAUAACAGAAUGAAAUUAGUAGUUUUUUGAGUACUGUAAACUUUAUGUGAGGUAAUUGGUUCAUAUAUGAGUGGCUUCAAGAUAGGAUUUUAAUUUUGCUUCAUACAGUUUAUAGCUUAAUAAACUUCAAAAUAAAAAAGAUCACAGCAGCCAAAUUAUAAAAAAGUAAGCAUUCACGCUCAGCAUCACAUAAAUGGGCAAUAUAAUGCAAAUCAGUGACAGUUUUGGAGUACCAGAAAUUAUGCCCACACGUCGCUCAGCACAUGGCUUCCAUGAAGUGGUAGCUGAAUAUGGAUUCUCCCAUAGUGAAGGAUGCUCCUUUACCUAAUUGAAAUGAGAUGAAUCAUACAACCAAUAUCAUUAUAUUGGUCAUUUAAGAAAAAAUGAAACAUGAAAAAGUACAGAAGCAUUUCUUUAAGCACUUACCCGUGGACAGUGGAGUACUAUGCCAUCUUUCUUGCACAGAUAUGGAGCAUUCUACAAUUCAUGAAAACAAUAUUAAAGAGGGGAAUCCCAAAUAAGCUUAAGAAUUUUCUUCGAAGAGAAGAAUGUUAAAUAAAUUUUAUGAGCAACUCAUCAAUAGUCCUCUAUUACAGGGUCUCACAUAGAAUGCCAAAAGUGCCACAGAAAAAGAAACUAAAUUUUGUAAAAAGCAAAAAGAAAAGGAAAAAAGAAGAAGAAACAACUUCCUACUCGUCAAGAAGUGCUGUAUACUAUGCAUGCAUUGAAGCAGAAAAAAAAAAUAGUAAAGAGUUUUAGAGUGAGAAAUUAAGUCAAAGCAAUGCUUUACUUAAAAUAAAGGAGAAUAUAAGAGUUCAUUAAAGUCAAAGAAAGAAUGCACAAUUUAGGAUAAACCGUGACAAACAGAUGCAUAUCAUCAUGUUUGUCCAAUAAGCACAAGAAAACAUCCCAUAGGGCACGAAACCUUGUUGUCAUAAUAUUUUUACCUAUUUAGUUAAUAACAAACUCUACCAUUUGAGUAAAAAGGCAGGCACAAGAAAUGCAACAAACACACUUUAUACAUAGUAUAUUCUACUUGUUAAAUAAGAUUAUACUAGCCAAACUGGCAUCUUCUGUGAGGCUUCACACCACUUUAACCCAAAUGUCAAGCAUCGGAUAUCAAGACAGCCCUUUUUUUUUAUCAGAGAUUGUAUAUGAUAGGCAUGUGACCUAAUUAAGCUAUUAUUUUUGCACAGCCCAAAUAUAACUGCACUUUUCUAUUAGCAUUCUCAACAAAAGCCGCAGCAAUUGUCAUAUACCCUUAUAGUCAAACUCAAAGCCUAAUUUCUGAGGCUAUAUUCACCAAACAAACUACCAUAAUAGGAUCUCCUCUAUCCAAGAAUAAGCACAGACAGCUCUGAUGUAAUUCUUCUCCAUGAUCUUCGAUGUAGAUUAACAAGAUUAGGGUUCAUUGUAUAAUGGACAGAAACGAUACAAUCACAAAAUAUUCUAAAAUAGAUAAUUCAUUUUCCUAGCCAGUUUCUACGCAAGGGAGGGAAUUUCCAAGUUAUCACUGCAACCCAUAAGGUGUCUUUUUCAUGUAAGUACCUCCACACCCAAGAGAACAAUAUGAGCAUCAAAAGUUAAGCCUAUAAGACUCUAGGUAUUGAGCUCCAAUAAUACUCCAUCCCCUCCACCCCCCCCCCCUUCUCACUCCACUCUACCCCGGAUAACAUGAUGAUCAAUAAACAUAAACGACUCCUCAAACAAUAAAGGCCCGAGAAAAAAACCACCCCCAGCUAAUCCAUAACAAAAAAUCACCAAUGUAACUAUUUUACUUAUCAGAAGUCUCAAAAUUUCCAACAGAAACAACAUUAAAAAUCGAAACUUCGUACACCUAACUCAAAAACUUAAGCACUUUUAUGUAUAAUCAAAAAGAGAAGCCAGAAAUUCUGCCAAAGGUUUAGCUAAACAGCAAGUGCUCACCAAUCGAUUGACAAUUGAAGAAACUGAAAUAAUUGCGGCGAGGAAAAUCAAACAAAGCACGAAAACCGAGAUCUUGGAAUUGUGAGUAUGGAGCCUAGCGUCGUCGGUGAAGGAGAAGGGGAAGAGAGAGUGCAAGUGCCCGGCGGAGAAGAAAGAGCGGAGGCCGCCGCGAUCUCGAGUAUGACGACUACGAUUGUCGUCGGAGGAAGAGGAGGUGGGAAUAUUAUCGGGAGACAGUGGGGAGGAAGCCACAGCGACAUCGUCCCGUUUCCUUGGUGACGCUGACGCCGCUCGGCUUCCCAUCGAACUUGAGUGCCGGAGCUCCGCCAUUACUAGCUUCGGACUGUACGCCAGCUUAGCCGCUGCCGCCCUUUUAUUAUUAUUAUUAUUAUUAUUAUUGAAAAUAAAAAUAAAAUUAGCUAAAAUCGCUGGUUUCCUCUUUGACGCAUCAUCUUCUGUGACUAGACUGCGCUGACUGUAGACGUCUGGUGCAGAAGAAUGGGGGAAGUGACUUCAGAUCGGGUUUUUAAGUUUAAUCCCCCACACAACGCACUGCAUUUGAGCCUCUCCUUUCUUUUGUUACAUUUUUUCUUUAAUAAUCCUCUUUAUUAAUGGUUAAUAGCACUAUCCGCCCUUUAAGUUUGUUAUAUUUGUAAAUGCUUACGCUGUACAGUUCUUAAAAUUACACACAUUUUUUGUUAACCAACUUCUUAUUUAGUAAUUUCAGCUCCCUCUCUUCUUUUUUUUUUUAAAAAUUAUUAUUUAACUGGUAGUAACACUAACAUGUUAGGGAAGGAAAGAUGAAAGGAAGCCAUUGUAGCUUUAAAAGCUUGCAAUUGUAGUCCGAGAGAGAGAGAGAGACAUACCAUCGUCAUAAGGGAAUUUUAGCAAAUAUUAAAGAAAAUUAAUUUAGAGUAUGUUUGAUGAAACUGAAAUAUGAAAUUUUGAUUCAUUAAAUUAUUGAAUAGUAAACACUCAUUUGAGUGAUAAGUGAAAAUAAUUUGUACUUAUUUUUUGAAAUAAAUGUUACCUACACAAUUCGAACUCACUGAGUCAAUUAAUAUGCUCUAUUUUGUUUUACUACAAGCACAUCUAAACAUGUUAUGAUUUGAAUUUAUUAAAAUUUAAGUACUAAAUUGAGUUAUUAUCAAAUAGGGCUUUAGUUUAUCUCUUUUUUCUUUCCAAAUGGUCAAAAUGCUUUGAGAGACCUUUGCUUUCUAAAAAUAGCAUUCAACAUACUAACUAAUAAGCAUGUGUAGUUUAUGGAAACUUUUAAGGAUGACCUUUUUUAUUGGUGAUACGAUGGUUUAGCCGAAAAAUGUCAAAAUUGUUUGGUGGGAUUGAUAUUAUUGGAGUUGGUUUGAUUGAUUACUCAAUGCUCCGUAGCUACUACUUUUUAAGUAAUCCCAAAUUCUCAAAACUCACACAAAGUGGCAUAAAAAUGUCACUAGAAACGCCACGAAAAUGCUAAGCAUCUCCUCUCUCCUUUUUUUUUUUUUUUUUCCCAUUUAGCAAAGUGUCUCCUUCUUUGAGCUGCUGUACUAGAAAAAACGAAAAACAUGUAAAAACAAAAUUUGAUUUCAAUGGUUAAAGAAAGAUGUCAUAGGUAGGUAAUGUUUGCCAAUCCUCCCAUUUGAUUGAAUUGAGGUAAAUCUCAUGCUGCAUAGAUUAUACUUUAUAGACUGUUUGUGCAGUGCGUAUCAAAGCCCAUUAUUAUAUUUAUAGAUAUAAUAAUUCGUACAAAGCCCAUUAAAAUUUCUAGGGAAGUACAACUAUUAAAUGGUGAUGUUGCAGACUUGGCCACAGGCCAAAUUUUACCCAAGUCCCCAUUUUUGAAGUGCAAAAGCCGAAGUAGAGAAAUCAGAAAAGAAAAAUUGUAUCAAUGUUUAAUAUAAUUUCUGUUGUUAGUCGAGAUUUUAAUAAACUGAGGAUGUUUUAUUAAAAAGGAAAAGAAAAAGAAAAAUUUGUCUUUUAACUAUAUAUUACUUCACUCUUUAAAAAAAAAAAAAAAAAAAAAAACUGGCUCCGUUUGGAUUAGCUGUUUUUGGUUUGUUUUUCAAAAACACCACUGUAGCAUUUUGAAUCUGAAAAACAAGUCCGUUUGGAUUAGUUGUUUUUGGGUUGUUUUUUCAAAAACUAUAUGAAAAACUUUUACUGUAGAUUUUUUGGGAUUAUUUUUAGAGGUAUUUUUGAAACAUAUUUUUGAGUUUUUAGAAUAUUUAUAAUUUUUAUAUUUUAUUAUAUAAAUAUACAUUUAAUGCAUUUUAUAAUACAUUUAUAGAUUUUAUAAAUAAAUAUAUUUAUAUAUUCAUAUAAAAAUAUAUAAAUGUAUUAUAUUAUAUAUAAUACAGUAAUAUAAAUAUAUUUUAUAAAAUGUAUAAGUGUAAUUAUUAUACAUGUAGAAAUUAUAAUGAAUAUUUAUAAAAUAUAUUAUAAAUUAUAAGUGUAUAUUAUUAUUAAAUGUAUAAAUGUAGUAUAUAUUAUAAAGUAUAAUAUUAAUAUUAUGUAGAAAUGUAUUUAUAUAAUUAAUAUAAAUGUAUAUAUGUAUUGAUAUUAUGUAUAAAUGUAAAAUUAAUAUUAUGUAUAUUAAUAUAAAUGUAUAAAUGUAUUAUAUUAUAUAUAAUACAUAAUAUAAAUGUAUAUUUAAAUGUAUAAGUGUAUAUUAUUAAAAAUGUAUAAAUUAUAAAUGAAUAUUAUAUAAAGGUAUAAAUUAUUAAAUUAUAAAUAUAUAUUAAUAUUAUGUAGAAAUGUAUUAAUAUAAUUAAUAUAAAUAUAUACAUGUAUUAAUAUUAUGUAUAAAUGUAAAAUUAAUAUUAUGUAUAUUAAUAUAAAUAUAUAAAUGUAUUAUAUUAUAUAUUAUACAUAAUAUAAAUGUAUAUUAUAAAUAUACAUAAAUAUUUAUAUAUUAUGUAUAAAUGUACAUUUAUAUAAAAGUAUAAUAUUUUAUAUAUUAUAUUAUAUAUAAUUUAUAUAACAUAUAAUAUUUACGUAAAUAUAUUAUAAAUAUAUAAAAAUAUAUUAUAAAUAAAAUAAAAUAUUUAUAAUAUGUAUGUAUAAAUAUAUAAUAUUAGAAAUGUAUAAUAUAUAUAAUAUACAUUAUUAUUAAUAUAAUUUAUGUAUAAUAUACAUAAUUGAAAUAUAUUAAUAUAUAUUAAUAUAUAUUAUAAAACAAAAUUUGAAUAAAUAUAUUUAUAAAUUUAUAUAUAAAUAAAUGUAUUUAUAUAAAUAUAUAAUAUUUAUUUCAAUUGAUAUAAUAUAUAUAAUAUUAUACAUAAUUGAAAUAAAUAUAUUUAUAUUAAUAUAAUAUAUAUAAUAUACAUAAUUGAAAUAUACAUAUUAAAAUAUAUUAAAAUAUAAUUGAAAUAUACAUAUUAAAAUACAUAAUUAAAAUAUACAAAUUGAAAUAUACUUAUUAAAAUAUACAAAUUAAAUAUACAUAAUUGAAAUAUAUUUGGAGUUGUUUUUGAUAUAUUGUUUGGAUAUGAUGUUUUUGAAGUUAUUUUUGAAAUACACAUUACUGUAGCAUUUGGAAUGUGAAAAACAGUUUUUAAAAAACAGGUGCAAAAACACCCAACUAGCGCUUUACCAUGGUUAAAGCAGGAGUCGAAGGGGUUUCUACUAAAAUCACUUCUUCAGUCUCUAGCAGGGGUUUAAGCUUUUGUAUGCUGCUGACGAAGGCCCGGCCGCGGAGAAGUGAAGGACGGAGGAGGAGGAGGGGAGCUCUUUUCGUUACAAAAAUUUGCCUGUACAGCCCACAUUAGAAGGAGAUCAGCAGUUGCAUGGGAGGAUGGAAACCACAAGGCUCCGAUUGGAGUUCACAGAUAAAGAGGGCAUUUUGAGCCAGUCCCAAAUAUCAGAGGGGCUUCAACAGUGCUGGCUUCUCCUUAAACCCCACCACCACAGAACCAUCGCUGACCUCGCUGCUUACAUUCUUCACGCUUUUCAACUUCAACCCUCUUGCCCUCAUGGCCUCCUCCUCUACGUAUGUAUCUAAUUCUUGCCCUAUCUUUGCAAUAAAAACUGCAACGUUAGGGUGUAAAUAUACCCCUUUGUUAAAGAAAAAAUGCAAUCUUUGCUAACGUGUAUGUGGCCUAGUGGUUUGGAAUUGUCAACGUGAUCAAAGGGUUUGUCUCCUUUUUCUGACGAUUCAGCAAAGCAGUUAAAUUGGUUUUCUGUUUCCGACUCUGUUUUUGAAUUUUUUUUAUGGAGUGUAAGAGACCUGAUUAACCCAACUUCACUGGAUUUAGGGUAUGAAUUGUUCUUUUUAAGUUGAUAGAUUUUUGAAAGUUUGGCAAUAAUAAAGAUCAUGACUUUCUCUCCAAUUUGUGGUACUUUGUUUAGUUGUAAUUGUGCCUACGGUGUAUUCGUUGCUGGAUUGAUGCUGUAUUUUCCUUGCUUGUAGAUGGAUGGCUACGUGUUACCAGGUUUUGAAUCGACUACCAUUUUGAAGGAUAAAGAUGUAAUCAGGUUAGGGCUAAGCAUUCACUCUUAGUCUUAAUCCUUAUUAAUUUCAAGGUUGAAUUUAUGUUACCCAUAAAUAAGUUAACAAGUUGGUAGAUGAAAGGAUGACAGAUGUUUUCUGUAUUUGAUCUGUUGUUAAUAGUGUAAGGAAGAAAGGGCUCACCUUGGCUAUUCGGGGAACCAAUCCAAUCAAUUUAGUUGCAGAAAUGGAAGCUGUGGAGCAGCAACCUGUAAAUACUGGAGCACUGCUUUUAGCAAAUGAGGAAUUCGAGAAGGAAACUGGAGGUUAUCAGAGUGAUGAGCCUGAAGAUGAAUCCGAAGGUGCGGAGGGGGAUGAUAAAGAGGAAGCUAGAGAUGUAACUGAAGAGGCUGAGGAUGAGGUCAGGGAAGAGCAGUUGGAAAAUUCUUUACAUAAUCCAUCGCAAGAAAAUGCAACUUCGAAGAAAAGGAAAGCUUCGGAAAAACUGCAGGGGUCAAAGUACGUUGUUGCUUCUUUAUGCUGUAUUUGGAUAACUUAUGCUUGGAGUCAAGCUUCAAUCUCUAACUGAAAUGGUCGCUUCAAUCUCUAACUAAAAUGGUCGCCGACCCUUUUCUUUUCUUAUCCUACAUAAAUUCCAGAAAGAAGAAACUACGUGCAGAGCGUCAGUGUAGGGUUGACAAUGCUGGUCCAGCAGAGCAAAUUGAAAAUUGUCAGCAAGAUGGUGUCCAUGCAGCAAAGGAGAGUACUCACAAACAGAAAAAGGUACCUGAGAUCAAGAAGAAAAAUGAAAGUGAUAUUGCUGAACAAGGUGAUGGAAGUAUUGUGGCUUCACCAAAUAUGAAGAGGUAUAUAUGACAUAAGACCAUUGUUUUUGAUGUUUUGAUUCCAUAUUAGUUUCAUUAAUCAAUUUCUUUAAGACCAUUGUUUUUUAUGUUUUUGCAGUGGUAUCUCAAAUGAGCUAAGCUGAAUUGACUAAGUUGUAUUUUUUUUUGGCGGGACACUCAUAAACAUCUUGGUCAUAUUUAUCUAUACUUUCCUGAGAGCUGUGUAUGUUAAAUUUUGGAGUUCUUAUCAUAAUCAAUAUUUUGAGGCAGUACUUCGCUGCACAAGCCUAUUUUAGCAGGAAGAUAGAACCUUUUCUUCUAGUAGGCAACUUAGACUUGGAGAAGUCUCGUUCUCGUUAUGGCCUCCUAGGGAGAGGCAUAUUGUUCUCUGUCCUCCUUUCUAACUCUUUCAGUGAUACAUCCGUAUUAUAUACUACAUUUCUUGAAGUACUCAAACAUCUAGAUGGUAUCUUGCUGACAAUAAUUUAAUCUGAUUUUGCAGCAGUGACCCGACUCAAAAAAAUGGAGAGGAGACUGAAAAAGUAUCUGGGGGAACAAAGAAGGUUUGCAAUCAUUGCUUGUUACUGAUAUUUGAACACUUAAUGUAUUGUUGUCUGCCUGAAUUACAUGCAUUGUCUCCUGCCAGUAUUUGUACUUCAAAAUUCAAACUGAAGAAUGCCUGUGGUGGACAGCUUUUUAGAAUUGUGACUGAAUGAAUUAUGGCUAUCACUGAUUUCUCUGAUGAUUUAAUCUGUAGAAAUGGACUUUUAAACAGAGGUAAAAAAAAAAAGAAAGUAAAAGAAAGGUAGAAAAGACAGUAAACAUCUACAACCUGUUCUGGAAGUGAGACAUCUGAAUUAUUAUCUGAGAUGAUUGAAGUAAAGUGCUGCAAGGACACAGCAUUGUACUGCUCUAAACUUUACGCUGCUUGCAGAGCUUUUGCUUGCUUUGUCUUCAAUAUUGCCUUAGAUUUCAUACAAUUUGUUUUGCAGCUCCCUAGCAGAAGUGCAAGGCGCAAAAAAGCUAAGAGGCGGUGGAUACGUGAAAUGGCCAAAAUUCAGAAGAAAGAUACCAUUUCUCAACCUAAGGAAAUUGUGAGUGGUCAGACAUGUACAUUAUUGUGCCUCUCUGACUUCCAGAAUUGGUUGUAAAGAACCACUUGCUGAAUUUUGCAGCAAAAUUGGAAAAAGAAACCAGUUAGAGCUGAAGUGAAGAAGUACAACAACUGGAAACAGAGACCAGCCAAACCUGAUGUAAAAGAAGAUGAUGGCCAACCAAAGGGACUGGUGAGUGAUUAAAGAUUCAUAUCCUCUUUGUUGCUCAAAACAUGAAUUCUUUUUCUGAUGCAAUUUCUGAUAUGUAGCUAUACUGGAAGCAGUGGUCUGGAAAAGAUACAAAUACUGAUAAGAGAAAACAUGGAGAGGCAACUCAAAAUGGCAGUGCAUCUGAGCAAUCAAAUCAGAAGAAAAGCUUGGAUGACGAAGUUGUUCCGAUUGUAAUUAGGCCUGGGCACAUCCGCUUUGAGCCUCUAGAGAAUGGUUGGACGCAUGCUUGUGUUUUUAUAUUUCUUUGAAUUGAUGUUACUUUUAUUCUCUUUCUUUUGGCUGUAUGGCGAAACCAUGCAAAUAAGUUGCAAUGUAUGUCUUCACGUGGGAAUACCAUUCUUAAGUUUGCUUUUUUAUUGUAAAAUCUAUGGCUUACUAGAGGACGUUAACAAGGAAUAUAAUAGCCUGUUUUAGCAUUUGCAGCAUGCCCACACUUGUGUUUGCUGGAGUUGCUUGACAUUUAGUUGCAUAAAAUCUGUCUGUUCAAUUUAGUUGCAAGCAUUAGAUAGCUAUGAAGUUGAAGUUGCAUGCUUUUUCUCUGAUAGAAGUCCAAUCUUUCGACAUCAAGAGCACAAGAUAAUUGAUGCGUCCUUACCUUGAUUUUGUUCUGACUUUGUAUCAUGCAUCUAUCAAUAUAUCCUCUUUCCAAAGAACACACUUACCACUGGUGGGAAAUCGUUUGCUUGGUACAACCACUUCCGUUGCUCCUAGAACGUGCUCAUUUUUUUCCCCCAAAAAAGGCCACCCUAUCUGAAUGAUUUUGUUAUGAGAAUAUUUCUUUUGUCCACCAGCUUCCAACUUGAAGCAAUCGAUUUAUUAAAAUUGUGUCAAAUUCCCACCAGUGGUAAAUGGUCUACCAGUGUACGAAACUGUUUGCUUAAUACAGCCACUUCCUUUGUUCCAAUGACGUGCUCAAUUCUUUUUUGCUAAAAGGCCACCCUUUUUGAACGAUUUUGUUAAGAGAAAUUUGAACAGCUUUUGUUCACAGCUUCCAGCCUAAAGCAAUCGAUUUCCUGAAGAUGGUAGACUGUUACUAGAUGAACUAUUAAGUUGUGCAGUUGUUCUCUACUGUCAAUGAAAUGAGAUUUUGAUUUUCAAUAUCUACUAAAUAUAAGCUUAUUACAACCUCAUAUUACACAUUUUUCAACUUUCUGAUAGAGUGAAGUAAUAUAAAUUGGUGACUUGUUGGAGAGUGUAGAUUACUGACGCUAUUAAUUUAGAGUCCUAAUAUCUGUAAAUUUGGUUUUGAAUGCAGAUCAAGCUGAGGCACAAAAUCAAGUCUCAGAGGUAUGUUAUUUGUCAUACAGCUUUUUCUUGUACUUUUGGUUUAAUUCUUGCUAUUUAUAACAAACUCUGUUACUAUUUUCUUCAAUUUUUCUGCUGAGGGUUUUAUGCUACAACUGUACAACUGUGUCAUGGUGAUUUUGAUAUCUCAAAGUGUAUGCUAAGUGUUAAAACUAUAGACCGAAAUUUUUCUCAUGUUGAUUAUGAGAGUUGAUGGCCGUAAGUAAAGUUUUGCCCAGUAUUUGGUCAGUCCUUUUCUUUUUGAUCUGAUAUAGGUUACUGCAAAACUCUUGUUUAUUCUGACAUGAGUUGUAUGCUUUCAUUCAUUUUGUGCUUUUGAAGGAUGGAAACAUCUCAAAAUCAUCUUUGUCAUUCAAAUUUUAUAUAUAUGUGUGUAUGUGUCUAUAUAUAUAUAUAUAUAUAUAUAUGAGAUACUAGAGUGAAAUUUCUUGCAUCUCAGGAAUCUUUCCAGUGGAAUGGAAUCACCAGCAAAAGAAAGGGCCAAAAGUGGGGAACUGAGAAAAAUUCAUUUUCCAGGAGAAACGAUUAUAAUAAUGCCAACAGAGACCGUCCUGUGACAUUAAGUGCCCCGAAAGAUGUACAUUUGAAUGGACCAAUUGAUUUUGAAAAGCUUCCUCUCCUUUCCUAUAUGCCAAAGGUUGGUGUAUAUUUCAGUGUCAUAUUGUUCAUAUUUAUGGCUUUGGAAUAAGACUUUUAUUUGUUGAAAUUCUCUGGUUAUGUACUUUCUUUGGCACUUUCUGUGGUACCUGGCAUUUUCAAGUAAAAGUUUAUGCCAGAAAAGUGAUUAAGAAUUUUGACAUGCUGUUCGUGUUUUAUCUUGAACAGAUUAUUUGGAAAGCUUGUUAUUUGCAAAAGAUUUUUUUGGUUGCAUUCAAAAACACGUUUUCCAACCCCCUUUUUAUCUCACAUACAUGACAUCACAAAAAAGUGCUAUAGUUUUUUUCCAAAAAAUUAUUCCAAAUAAUCUCCUAUCCAAACACAAUCAUCCUCUUUUUCAAAAUAAAUUUUAUUGUUUCCCCUCCGCCUCCUUUCCUUUAGUUUUGGGGUGGGGGGAGUCUUUCGGGCCUGGAGGGAGGGGGAUGGGUGGGGGAUUGUGUUGACGAAGUAAAAGUCCAUGCUGAAAUUGUGAACAAGUUUGACCUCCGACCUGAGAUGUCAUAUGCAUAUAAUUUUAGAGCACUAAUUACCUCCUGGUUACCUUCUAAGGUGUCUUAUUGUCUUUUCAGGUAGGUGAUGUGAUCGCGUAUCGCUUACUUGAGUUGUCGUCGACCUGGACUCCUGAAAUUUCUCCCUUUCGAGUAUGAUGGAAUUCUAACACCACUUUGAAAAACCCUUGAUUCUUAAUAUACCACCAUGAUUACAGGUUUUUGGCUUGAACUUAUGCUGCAGGUUGGGUAUGUGUCAUGGUGUAGUUCAAAAUCUGAUAAACUCAUUCUGAUGCCAGUCCCUGGGUAUCCAGUUACUACAAAGAAUGCGGAUGAAGAACCUGAUAAGCAGCCAGAUGACUCCCUUUACAAAGAAGAUGGAUCUUUGGAGGUACUUUAAAGCUGUUCACCACCUGUCAUUUUACUAGUUGCCUAUGUUAUCUUUUCUCCCGUGCGAAAUGUUAAUUAUGACAACUUUUUGUGGAUCAGGAAGGACCACAGUUUAAAGCUACUGUUGCUUUUAUUAUACUAAUAACUGUAUGCAUAAACCUGCAGAUAGGUUUUGCAACUCUUAUUGAUGUUCGUGUUGUCAAAGAUGGCCAUGAAGGUUCAACUGAAGCAGUAACUGGUGAGGCAAAUGGAGGUCCUGCAGCUACUGAGAAUGCUACAGUUUCUGAUCCACCUGCCAAUAAUGAGACACAAAUAGAUGCCCCUGCCCCCGGUAUGCAUGGUUGGUUAUGUCAGAAAAAUUAUUGAUAAUCAUUUGUGUUGGGAAAAUUACAGCUGCUAGUUUAAAAAAUGUGUCAUCAAGAAUUUGUAGAAAAUGCACAGUUUCAAUGUCAGUACAAGAUUUUUUUUUAACUCUCAACUUCUCUUGGUAAAACAUGGAAGCCUAAUGCUGCAAAAUUGGGUAAGAAAUGUGGCAAAUUCAGGGAGGUUACUUUAGGUCAUUUUUGUUGCUCUAGAAAUUAUUGGUUAACGAUAUUUGUCGGAGCUACAUAGAAAAGUUAGAAACAAAAGGUAUUGGUAUUCUGGUGCAAGCAAAUGGUGAAGCUAAUGGUUUUUUCACAUUUUGGAUAGUUUUCCUUUCUCCUCCUAGAUACUUUUAGCCAAGAUCAGGAUGUUUGGGAUUUGAAAGUAAGUAAUAAGUUUAUCUUUUGUUGACUAUAUGCAGGGAGUGGAGAAGCAAAUUGUGGGAAACAAAAAAGUGCCUCAGGCUCAGGUACUUACAAGACCUUACUGGUUCCUGAAACUGACUGCUUCUUGAGUACGUGAUUUUUUCUAUACCAUUUUGGGUUUUGAAUUUCUUACUCGUUAUAUUAUAGAAAAUGGAGGAAACAUAUGGGAGCAAUUGAGUGAGGCUUUGAAUGCCAAGAAGGAAGAACUCUCCCAAGGAAACUCUUGGGAUAAGGCCAGUUCAGGGAAAAGCUCGUGGUCCUAUAGAGCCUUAAAAGGUAGUGCCCUCGGCCCAACAAUGGCUCUGUUGAGAUCUAAAAACAAGUUAUGAGAUGAAGAGAAGGCAAGUUGGGGAUAAAUUUUGCUAUGGCGUUGCUUUUCCCCAACUAUUUUUGUUAAGUCUGGCUUGUGACAUUUAGCCUUUGUAACUUCUGAACCUGCAUAUAUUCAGUUGUGCUAACCAAGCUGAAGCCUACUGUGAAUAUCGCUCCCAACUUUCUUCAUCUAUGCGAACCUUACUUAUUGGAUCACUGCUUUCCUUGAUAAUGUGUACCUGGUGCUAAUCAACAUCACUUUUGAGGUCAUUUGCAUUCUGGAAAAAGUCGUAUUUAAAUUCUAAGGAUGCUCCUUACACUCGGGAGCUGGCAGAAUUGUUGGAUGGGUGGAAGUAUAUUGCCCUGUAUUCCCAUUUAGGUAAGAUCACCUGUAAUCGUUGCCAAUGAUCCCGUCUUUUUGGGGUCAGAACAGCCAAUUAUACCAUUGUAACACCUCAGCAAAAAUGAUGGUAGGAAGUUCCAGUUCUGAUUGUCAUUGCGGUGUUAGUACCCAAACAUGAAGCCAAAGAGCUUGCUUAUCUUGCCGUGAAAAUAAAAGCAAUUGCACGCUUCGGUAAUAAGCGCUUUAAUACUCCUUGACCUCCAGUUCCGCUUUUAAUUUCGUUACAAUGAAUAAACGUAAUGGACCAACUUACAAGGAUUGUGCGAAUGUGCUAUGAGAGUGUUGGAAAUCAUUUACAAAAUCAUGUGUUGGCCCUUUAUGUUUUUUUUUUUUCGGAAUGUUGGCCCUUAGCUACAUUGUCUGAUGAUUGAUACAUUAUUAGAACAUGAUACUCCAACUUGUUACUGAAACCAAAACGUAGUAAGAUUAGUGUUGUAUACAUUUCCCAUGAUAGUUCCCCACACAUGUUUCAGUAUAUAGUAAAUGAUCCCCUGAAAUGCAAUUAAAGUGACAAUUCUUCGAAAUGACAGAAAGCAUGGAUAACAUCCAAACCUGCAGUGUGUUUCUAUAAGAUUCUUUUCACUAUGUUUUAUACAAAAAUUACAGGAGUAUAGCUUGUAUAAGAAGGAAAGAGAAUCACUUAAUUUUGCCUCACUGCAUGACCUAAAUCUCCGCAAGCAGAGUUUCCCCAGCAUCAAAUUCAAAGCCGGCGAAACUUGUGCAAGUCAGCAAAGAUCAUCUUCAUAUUCAUACUAAAGACCAACACCUUUUGAGGUUGGAUGUAACCAAUUAUAGCUGAAUGAAGUUACUAAAGAAAAUGACUGUAGUUUUUUACUUAUUCCAAAGAAACUUACAUACUUCUGGAUUUUAUCGCAACUGGUCACCUGUACAUGAUCCCAGGAAUGUUCCGCACCUUACAUCGCACAAGCGGAAAGAGAACUCUACUGCCUGGGAUCCCAAUUAACUUACUCAGUUGCAGGUCCCUCGCAAUAUGGCGGAUGCUGAAAUUCAGGAACUAGACUUAGAAAGACUGUUGGCUCCUUUCUCCUACUUAAUUCCAUCAUCCAAUGUGUUCUGGAAUGAGAAACAGGGAAAAUGCUUCAAAAGCAGCUCUGGUUCCUCACCUUCUUUGACUAUCUGCAAUCAGUAGAACUUCAAUUAGUUCAUCCAUUCAAGAUGGUAACAACAAGAUAGAACAAAGAAGCUGAACAGAUGAUUGUCAAUGACUAAGCUACGACAGGCAAAUUAAAUCCAAAUUUCCAACUAAACUUGAAAACAAGUGUAAAGAGUCCUCCAAAUUCCAUGAAAGCACUACAAUUUCCAACUAAAAAUCAAACCAAGUUCCAGGUAGAUAACAAUUUGCACCCUCCUUGCAAACCCGGAAAAAAAAAAUGAUAGAAUAAAAAGCAAUGGUCUCCACCAACUAAAAUUGCCAAUUUUCUGCCUCUGAAUGUAGAAAGGACGAUAAAAUGAAUAUAGAUUCAAAAUCAGUUGUUCCAGCUAUGCUCACCAAAUUAAAGCAAUUAAUUUUCUAUCAUUUAAGAAGCAACCAUAUAAAAAGAAUAUACUUCUUUUAGCAUCCUAUGAUUUCUGUAAUUUUUACCAAAGGUUACAUCAGGAUACAACUUUUGGAUUAUCAGAAUACACGCUAAAUUACUAGACUUGAUAAACUAAUAAGUAAUAGCUGCUUCCACAGGAAACUGGGCUGGUAAUAUGGUGGAACUUCUCGUUUGCAUUCUCAUCUAUAUCCACUCAUGAAAAGCCAAACACAAAAUUACCCUAAUGGGAAUCUUUUCUAGAAAGAAUGAAUACCAUAUAGAAGGUCAAUGAAUUUUUCACAGAUGUGUCAAUUUAACAAUCACUGUGUACUUUAGCAAUACAACCCAAUUUAUACAAGCUACUGCACUUCAUAGUUAAGUCAGUAUAUUUGGAAAAGAUUAAAAAUGAUUCUCACAGACAUGUCAGUUGAAGCACAAAGGUUGAAUGGAUACCUGAACAACAGAGCUUGUAGCUAAACCCUUCUGAAUAAGAAAAUCACGCCCAAUUGUCUCCCACUUGAUGCAUCCAUCCUCAAAUGUGCUAUUCUUCCUAGUUUUCCCUCCCUUCUGUGAUGCUUCACGCCCUACCCACACGUACAAAACAUAAUCAUCUUGGGUGCCCAAAUUCGUGUCUUGAACAAACAUGAUAUACACAGAUCUCGAAUCAAGGAUGCCAAAAUGCAUUUCCACUUCAUGCAUAGAAGGCCACUGAUAAAGAACUAAGUUAGUUACUUCAGUAGCAGUAUCUUGUACAGCAUCAGGUGGAAGACGACAAGUCCCAAAAUGUUCAUCUUUGACUGCAUUAGAAAUUUCAUUGUCUGUCAUGAAAGUAUCACUGUCCAAUACUAACUCUUCAGUAUUCAUUUCCAAAGAACUUUCUUGAGAGUGUUUGUUAAAAUCGACAUCAUUCAUCAUUUCAUCUUCAAGGUCAGGAAGAGCAAAUGACCACGAUCUCAUCAAGUUGACUGGAACUUGGGAUGUUUCAUCGACUGAAGGUAACAUCAUCCGAGGAGGAGGAUUGUUGCCUCUUCGCUCUGCUAAAGAAAGGGAACUCCCUCUACAUGGAGAACAAGUGUUCGCCAUCUGCCAAGCAUGAGCAGAAGAAGAAUUAUCUUCUGAUGGAGAAGUUCCUUCACAGAGGAGAGGUGCACCUUCCUCCAAGUGUGCAUUUUUACCAGAAUUUAAAUCUUUAGAUUCCGAUACUGAAGGUGAUGGCUGAGCAGACAGAUAGGACAGAUCAGACCAGUUAGAAGAUGAGGGUGAGAAGGUAAAAGAACUGGAGUAGUCAGAAGUUGAAGGUGAGAGCAAGGGUGAUGUAGUAUCAGACUUUGGUCGACUAACAUGAGGACUAGGAAAAGAAUCCAAGGAACUGAAGGAAGGGGUUCGAGAUAGUGAAGG
rnacentral:lncRNA from 1 species